AGUUUUUAGCUCGACUAUUCGAAGAAUAUGAGAGCUAUUGUAGUCGCCCCGGCGUCGGCGUCGGCGUCAGCGUCUGCGUCGGCGUCUGCGUUGGUUAAAGUUUUUUGUAAAGUCAAAUAUCUCAAUUAUUACUUGAGAUAUUCAAUUGAAACUUACAAUACUUAUUUAUAGUAACAAGGUACAUCAGAUUGACAAGUUGGAUAACUCUGCCUACAAUAUUGACAGAAUUAUGCCCCUUUUUAACUUAGAAAUUUUGGUUAAAGUUUUUUGUAAAGUCAAAUAUCUCAAUUACUGCUUGAGAUUAUCAAUUGAAAUUUAAAAUACUCAUUUAUAGUAACAAUGUACAUCAGUUUGCAAAAUUGCAUAACUCUGUCUGCAAUAUUUGCAGAAUUUUUUGCCCCUUUGAAACUUAGAAAUUUUGGUUAAAGGUUAACGGUCUUCAAAGAUAUUUACUUGAAACUUUACACAUGCACUUAGGGUCAUAAUUGGAGGGUCAUAAUUGUAUGUCACUGACCAAGUUCCAUGACUCUAUCUUGCAUUAAGGCUGAUUCAUAUCCCCUUUUCUACUUAGUCUCUUGGUUAAUGUUUACAUGCAAGUUUUACAUAUCUCAAUAACUAUUAAAGAUAUUUAUGUAAAACUUCACAUAUGCAUUUAGGGUCAUAAUUGUAGGUCACUGACAAAGAUCCAUAAUUCUAUCUUGCAUUUAGGCUGAUUUGUCUCCCCUUUUUCAACUUAGAAAUUCAUGGUAAAGUUUUGCUUGUAAGCUGUUAUCUCAAUAACUACUGAAGGGUUUGUGCCUUUUUUGGGACAAUUUUAUGCAUUCAUAAUAAUAAAGUAGUGAUUUACUUGAUAAAACAUCUUAAUAACAAGCCUUUGUACCUUUUCUGUCAAAUUUAUGUAUUCAUAGGUAAUUAGUAUUAUUAUACUCAAUAAAAAACCUUGUGACAUUACCUUCCGAAUAGUCAAGCCAAUUCUGUAUAAUUAGACUCUCUCUAAGGCCUAUAACA